rnacentral:rRNA from 1 species
GAUGAACGCUGGCGGCGUGCCUAAUACAUUCAAGUCGAGCGAACAGACGAGGAGCUUGCUCCUCUGACGUUAGCGGCGGACGGGUGAGUAACACGUGGAUAACCUACCUAUAAGACUGGGAUAACUUCGGGAAACCGGAGCUAAUACCGGAUAAUAUAUUGAACCGCAUGGUUCAAUAGUGAAAGACGGUUUUGCUGUCACUUAUAGAUGGAUCCGCGCCGCAUUAGCUAGUUGGUAAGGUAACGGCUUACCAAGGCAACGAUGCGUAGCCGACCUGAGAGGGUGAUCGGCCACACUGGAACUGAGACACGGUCCAGACUCCUACGGGAGGCAGCAGUAGGGAAUCUUCCGCAAUGGGCGAAAGCUUGACGGAGCAACGCCGCGUGAGUGAUGAAGGUCUUCGGAUCGUAAAACUCUGUUAUUAGGGAAGAACAAAUGUGUAAGUAACUAUGCACGUCUUGACGGUACCUAAUCAGAAAGCCCCGGCUAACUACGUG